AAUAUCUGAUUUCUAGAGCUUUCUGUCUUCUUUCUGAGCUCCAUGGAGCAGCCAUUAAAUACCACUAGGGUUCUUGAAUAUUAGGGAUUUCAAAAUUUUUAAAGGUAUAAGUUAAAAAAAGUUGAGGAGGACAACCUUUACCUUGAAAAAUACAAGUCUUAGCAAAUGGUAAUUCAUUCCAGCAAGGUACAAGUACUCAACUAGUAAAUCUCUCCAAUAGUAGAACAUGAUACUCAGUGAUUGUUGGUGAGCUCCAGAUUUAUUUAGGGAUUUUUCGAGUCUUUACUAUGUAUAUAUUUUCAUAGUCGUGGAGUCAUGGAUUCAUGUAGAUACUUUGUAGGCAUUGUAAAUCUAUCAGGUGUAUUCA